CUCUGCUAUAAAAGCGCCGCGCACCCUCUACCCAGUCUCAUUCUCCGGCUCGCUCUGCGCAACAGACUCAUCAGUUACGUCGAAUCGAAAAAUGAAGCUGAUCAGCACGUGGCUCCAACGCGGGUCUCCAGGCGUUUGGACCCGUCCAAUGCAUCCCUGGUUGAAGUAUGAUGCAGAGGUGUGAAGAAGCUGUGGAUCAUGAGGUGUGAUCACACUGACUGAAUUCACUCUUCACUCACGGCAUUCAAUGAGAUGGUCUCGUGUUUGUCCAUCUGAUCUGAACGCUCACAUGAGCUACUGAAACUUGUCUGGCUACAGAAUGCUAUGACAUGUGACUGCUACGCCGACCGAAUUUCCAGCCUUGUUGGUAAGAGUCACUUUCAAAUCAAAUGUUGCUAAUGUUCAGACAUGAUGAAUGUGAAUCAGGUCACUGAUCCAGUUGAAGAAUUAAGUCAUUUCUGAUCUGAUACUUAUUGCACGAUUUAACUUUGCAAGUCUCUGCAUCAUCCUAAUUGAAGCUGUUUUUGACUUUACAGAUCUAAUGGGAUCCUGGGCGGUUUGGUGCACAGUGUCACACAAACUAUGUUCUGAUCACUGAGGUCUGACUGAACGGCCCAGGCGCAGUGGACUGAGGAAUUGGCUGCAUCUAUUGGACUUACCUUGAAAGCAGAUGUAAUCUACUCCGGCCCUCAGCAAGCCUGAUGUUUUACUCUGAAGAUUCUGGAAACUGGAGUUUGACCUGCAGACAAUUGGAAAUCUCUUGCCAGAUGUGUUUUCAAUAAUGUUGCAAUAAAAAAAUUCAUACCAA